CUUUAACAUUUUUUUUUUCCUGAAUGGUUUUAAAAAGGAAACAAUGUCUAAUUUUUUUUUCUCCUAUAAUGGGGCUACAUUUUUUGAUUGUAAAAAUACUUGAAGGCCUUUUAAUGGAUGUCUUUCACAAUGAAUAAGAUAACUAAGUGGCUAAAUUUAGGAAACAUGUUAACAGGACACUGUUUUUGAAGUAGGAACAAAAUCUACACGAGUGAUUUACAGGUACAAAGAAUAAAAUAAAGGUGACUUUACCUUUCUUUAAAAAUAAAGAAAAAAAAAUGAGCAGAGUCUCUGGACUCCGACUGGGCAUCUGUCCUGGGGCAACACCUUGGGCAACUGACCUGACUCCCUGAAUGUUCACCAUGUUCAACAGGGAAAAUAGUGGUAGGCACCGUAUAGUAAUUUGUGGACUUAUAAAUAUUACAAUAACUCUAAUAUGUCUGGAGUGGUAAAGUCACGCAUGCACAUGUGACAGUAAUAGAACUGCAUACUAUAUACUUAUACAUAUAUUUUAAAUAUAAUUAAGUACAUAUAUUCAUGUUAAUGUAAUUGAUAGAAAAAUGUACAGAUCUUAAAUAUACUGUUCAGUGAACUUUUUGCAUAGGUAUACACACAUGUAACCACCACUGGAUACAGCAUACUUCUAUCACCUGGAGAGUUAGACACAUGUAUUUUAACAGUUAAAUAACAGCAGCUGAAUAUCCAUGGUGCCUGCCCUGGGCGGAGCACGGCUCGAGCUGCUUGAUUAUAUGUCUUCUUUCCUCUUGCCAACUCCUUUGGGGAGGUAUGUUAUAGCUCCCCCUCACAGAGGGCUCAGUUUUUUGCCCAAGGUCACACAGAUAGCCCCUGAGAUCCCCACUCUUGCCCUGCACACUCCACCCGGCUGCUGACUGUAGCUCCCAUCCCUGCA
rnacentral:lncRNA from 1 species